rnacentral:rRNA from 1 species
UACGUAGGGGGCAAGCGUUGUCCGGAUUUAUUGGGCGUAAAGAGCGUGUAGGCGGCUUGGUAGGUCCGCUGUGAAAACUCGAGGCUCAACCUCGAGAUGUCGGCGGAAACCACUUGGCUAGAGUCCGGAAGAGGAGAGUGGAAUUCCCGGUGUAGCGGUGAAAUGCGCAGAUAUCGGGAAGAACACCUAUGGCGAAGGCAGCUCGCUGGGACGGUACUGACGCUGAGACGCGAAAGCGUGGGGAGCGAACAGG